UGAAUAUUGGUAAUUAUUUAUUUUUAUUACCUGAUAGUAGUAUUAAGAUAACCCAAUUCCAUGUUAUGAUCUCUUGCAUUUUGAUUACAAUUUGCUAAUUGUGUGGAUAAUUUAUAUUUGUCAGCAGGGCUUUCAUUGAAAUGUAAAUUUCUAGGAACUUCUCCUUUCAAUCCUUCCGGAAUAUCAUCCUACGACAAACAAGAGGAUAAAAUCUUGUUAUCUGUAUUAAAAUGAUAAAUCAAAUAGAAUAGAAAUAUCUUACAUCAUGACAAGGUUGUAUAUGACAAUAACGUAUAGCGCAUUUACUGUCAUCCGCCCAAAAAGGACACUGUUGCUUCAGAUUAACUUUGUAAAAUCUAAAGUAAUCCUUCAAUAGAAGACUUUGCAAUCUAGGAUAUAUCUUUACAUUGUUAAAAUAAUCCACUGUAUCUACAUUACAGCUACAAUCAUCGAUUGAUCCCUUUAACUGAAACAAACAUUAUAAUAAUGAUAAUGAUGAUAUUGUUGAAUAUACAACAUGCAAGAAGUAACAGAAAAACAUGUAAAAAACAGAAUAAAACUGAAAAAAAUAAAAGAUCAUGUACAAUAUCACGUAAAAAUGUUCCUGAUAGUUACAUGUAUGUGAAAGAAACACUGAUCGUCCGUUUGUGCAUUGGUUCCAAAAUAAUUACCGUGCACCCUGGUAUUAGAAAAAUUCGUUAGAACAAUUAGAAGGAGAAAGAUUGAGGAAAACAUCGUUCGCAUUGAAAACUUCAACACCAAUCCUAUUAUACUAUAUAAGUCGAGGAACAAACUGACGUGUCCCUUUACAAGUUCUUUUCUUUCCUCUUCCUUCUUUUCACAUUGGUGAAAAAUGACGACGACGACGACAAAGAUAAACGAUUAUCGGUUGAUCUUUGAAACUAUCUGUAAGGAAAUCGUGACUUUCAUUCGGACGGGAUGUCUACGUGACUUUUAACAGCAAAGAGAAACGAUUUAACGGGACACACAAGUUCGUAGUUGAACACGCCGCGAAUCUGUCAACCCACGAAUGCGAUGCCAAAGCACGCCGAUUAAUCGCGCGCUGUCAAA
rnacentral:lncRNA from 1 species